rnacentral:lncRNA from 1 species
ACAAAAAUGGAGAAGAGCCUGAGGAAAAGGAGGUCCAGCGACAGGCCCAAAGUGGGAUACAACUCAAGGGAAGGCUCCAAGGCCUGACACUAUUACUGAGGCUAUGGUGGGCUCACAAACAGGGACCUCUCAUGACUGAAGGACCUAUCCUCCUAAAGACCCAACAAGCAGUCAGAUGUAGAUAUUUACACCCAACCAAUGGACAGAAGCUGCUGACCCCUGUGAUUGAAUUAAGGAAAAGUUGGAAGAAGCUGAGGAGGAACUGACCCUAUAAGAAGACCAGCAAUCUCAAGUAACCUGGACCCUGGAGAUCUUUCAGGCCCUGAACUACCUACCAACCAAGCAGCAUACAGCAGCUGCUAUGAGGCC